rnacentral:rRNA from 1 species
AAAGGAAUAGACGGGGGCCCGCACAAGCAGCGGAGCAUGUGGUUUAAUUCGAAGCAACGCGAAGAACCUUACCAGGUCUUGACAUCCAUCUAAAGCUGCGGAGACGCAGUGUGAGCAAGCUCGAGAUGAGACAGGUGGUGCAUGGUUGUCGUCAGCUCGUGUCGUGAGAUGUUGGGUUAAGUCCCGCAACGAGCGCAACCCUUGCCGGUAGUUACUAACGGGAAGAGCCGAGGACUUUACCGGGACCGCCGGGGACAACUCGGAGGAAGGUGGGGACGACGUCAAAUCAUCAUGCCCCUUAUGACCUGGGCUACACACGUGCUACAAUGGCCGAGACAGAGGGCAGCGAAGGCGCGAGCCGGAGCGAAUCUCAAAAAAGCGGUCACAGUUCGGAUUGCGGGCUGCAACCCGCCCGCAUGAAGCAGGAGUUGCUAGUAAUCGCGAAUCAGCAUGUCGCGGUGAAUACGUUCCCGGGCCUUGUACACACCGCCCGU